rnacentral:rRNA from 1 species
GACGAACGCUGGCGGCGUGCUUAACACAUGCAAGUCGAGCGGUAAGGCCCUUUCGGGGGUACACGAGCGGCGAACGGGUGAGUAACACGUGGGUGACCUGCCCUCAGCUCUGGGAUAAGCCUGGGAAACCGGGUCUAAUACUGGAUAUGACUCCAUGACGCAUGUUGUGGGGUGGAAAGCCUUGUGCGGCUGAGGAUGGGCCCGCGGCCUAUCAGCUUGUUGGUGGGGUGANGGCCUACCAAGGCGACGACGGGUAGCCGGCCUGAGAGGGCGACCGGCCACACUGGGACUGAGACACGGCCCAGACUCCGUACGGGAGGCAGCAGGUGGGGAAUCUUGCGCAAUGGGCGAAAGCCUGACGCAGCGACGCCGCGUGAGGGA